CCUACGGGAGGCAGCAGUGGGGAAUAUUGCACAAUGGGGGAAACCCUGAUGCAGCGACGCCGCGUGAGUGAAGAAGUAUCUCGGUACGUAAAGCUCUAUCAGCAGGGAAGAAAAUGACGGUACCUGACUAAGAAGCCCCGGCUGACUACGUGCCAGCAGCCGCGGUAAUACGUAGGGGGCAAGCGUUAUCCGGAUUUAAUGGGGGUAAAGGGAGCGUAGACGGGAGCACAAGUCUGGAGUGAAAUCCCGGGGCUUAACCCCGGAACUGCUUUUGAAACUGUGCGGCUGGAGUGCAGGAGGGGUAAGCGGAAUUCCUAGUGGAGCGGUGAAAUGCGUAGAUAUUAGGGGGAACACCGGUGGCGAAGGCGGCUUACUGGACUGUAACUGACGUUGAGGCUCGAAAGCGUGGGGAGCAAACAGGAUUAGAUACCCGUGUAGUC
rnacentral:rRNA from 1 species